rnacentral:rRNA from 1 species
CCCUUAGAUGUUCUGGGCCGCACACGCGCUACACUGAAGGAGGCAGCGUGUACUCCUGGAUCGAAAGAUUUGGGUAACCCGCGAAUCUCCUUCGUGCUAGGGAUUGAGGUUUGCAAUUAUCCUUCAUGAACGAGGAAUUCCCAGUAAGUGCAAGUCAUAAGCUUGCGCUGACUACGUCCCUGCCCUUUGUACACACCGUCCGUCGCUACUACCGAUUGAAUGAUUUAGUGAGGACUUCGGACUGGGACCGAUGCGGCUUUCGGGCUGCGUCGGUAUUCUGGAAAGAUGUCCAAACUGUAUCAUUUAGAGGAAGUAAAANUCGUAACA